rfam:Camelus ferus unplaced genomic scaffold scaffold56579, whole genome shotgun sequence.
UGGGGAAUAGCUCAGUGGUAGAGUGCAUGCCAAGCAUGCAUGAGGUCCUGGGUUCAAUCACCUGUAUCUCUA